CAUGUACCCCCUCUGUCCGGAAAUACUUGUUGGAGAAAUGGAUGUAUCUAGACGUAUUUUAGUUCUAGAUACAUCCAUUUUUAUCCAUUUUACCGACGAGUAUUUCCGAACGGAGGGAGUAGAUA
rfam:Triticum aestivum genome assembly, contig: Triticum_aestivum_CS42_TGACv1_scaffold_543746_6DS